rnacentral:rRNA from 1 species
GAUGAACGCUGACAGAAUGCUUAACACAUGCAAGUCUACUUGAACUUCGGUUUGGGUGGCGGACGGGUGAGUAACGCGUACAGAACUUGCCUCACAGAUAGGGACAACAUUUGGAAACGAAUGCUAAUACCUGAUAUUAUGAUUUUAGGGCAUCCUAGAAUUAUGAAAGCUAUAUGCACUGUGAGAGAGCUUUGCGUCCCAUUAGCUAGUUGGAGAGGUAACGGCUCACCAAGGCGAUGAUGGGUAGCCGGCCUGAGAGGGUGAUCGGCCACAAGGGGACUGAGACACGGCCCUUACUCCUACGGGAGGCAGCAGUGGGGAAUAUUGGACAAUGGACCAAGAGUCUGAUCCAGCAAUUCUGUGUGCACGAUGAAGUUUUUCGGAAUGUAAAGUGCUUUCAGUUGGGAAGAAAAAAAUGACGGUACCAACAGAAGAAGUGACGGCUAAAUACGUG